UGGGCAACCUGCCCCUCUCUCUGGGAUAACCCCGGGAAACCGGAGCUAAUACCGGAUACUCCGGCUGGAUCGCAUGGUCCGGCCGGGAAAGGUCCGCCGGAGAGGGAUGGGCCCGCGGCCUAUCAGCUUGUUGGCGAGGUCACGGCUCACCAAGGCGACGACGGGUAGCCGACCUGAGAGGGUGAUCGGCCACAUUGGAACUGAGACACGGUCCAGACUCCUACGGGAGGCA
rnacentral:rRNA from 1 species